rnacentral:misc_RNA from 1 species
AACGCACGAGACCUGCGGACCUGCGGAGGGAUCAUUAACGAGUGUAACUUACCCUUUUUUUUAAAAGAGGGUAGUACCUCCUGUCCUUUGUAGGCCCCUUUUUAUUGGGGGGCUUUUUAAGACUUUCUGCUUCGGCGGGGUUAUUCCCGCCGGAACACCCUCAAAAAACUCUUCAAAAACUAAUUCAGUCCGAGAAUUUUUGAAAAUAAAAAAAACUUUUAACAACGGAUCUCUAGAUCG